GGGGAGUCUUUUCAGGCAAGUUGUAAGAGAGAGAGAGGAUGUGAUUUGUAUAUAGAAUUGAUGGAGAUAUUUGAGGAAUAUAGUGAAUUGGGUGGUUUCAUUUCAUAUCCACAAAAAUAGAUUGAUAAAUCGAUAGACACCCUCCAAAUUUCUCAUUCAACUGUUACCGCCCAUUUCUUUCUUUCUCAUUAUUGGUAUUCUUAGUCUCUCCCUAUCUAUCUUAACUUUUGUUCACUAUCUGUUUGAUAAUUUGCCUCAAAGAAAAUUAACUUCUUGUUAUCAUUUGAGAUUUGGUGAAGAAGAUUUUGGUGAUCUGAGUUGUGAAUUGACCCCACAAUUUCCGCUUCAUCAUAGUCAUCAUCAUCAUCUUCACCAUCUCUCUGUCUUUGUCUUUUUUGUGUUCGCGUUUGUGUGUUAGUAAGUGUGUGAGCUGGGUGGUGCACCUAAUUGUGCCUCAAUUUCAAUCUCACCUACCCAGAUCUGUGCCUCUCAUUUUAUUGUAUUUUUUAAAACGUUUCUGUUUCUUAAACUAAAAUUCAAAGAUUUUUGGAGAUAUGGGUCUUUGUAUCUAGACUUAUUUUCUUGGGAUUUCAAGGUGUCAGAUUGACCCUUAUCAGAUCUCACUCUACCCCACUUCUUUAUUGAAUCAUUACCCAUUUCAUUUGAUUCAUUCAAUUUUACUCAUUUUCUUAUCCCCAUUUUCUGUGAACCAUUUUUUUUUCUUUUUUAUAUAUUACUAAAACAAGAACAUGGAGCCCUUUAAGUAGUUUAGCGUCCUUUCAUGUUGUAGAUUUAGUUUUAUACAAGAUUUGGUUUUUGUCAUCAAAGCUUGCUGAUUGAUUAUUGAUUAAGGUUUCUACAUAUAUAUACAUACACAAAUUUAUAUGUUAAUUACAUAUACAAUUCAUUUUAUUCUGAUUUAGACUUUUGCUAGCAGGAGGCCCACUGCCGGGUUUGGUGGGCUUUUGUUGAACCAAUAAAAACCCGUAACUUUAAGGUGUUUAUGUGCACUUUGGUUUUUUCUCUUGAAAGAGGGGAUUGAUUAUUAACAAGAGGAAGAGAAAGAAAUGAAUUUUUUUUAAUUUUUUUUAAUAUUAAUCUUUUUUAGUUUCCUCUUCUCUACCAUUUUCUUUUCUACUAUUGGGUUCCUCCGUCCCGUUCAUUAAUCUUUUGGCCUUAUCAUUUUUGCCAAACUUGAAUUUGAGCCGUUAAAAAAAAAUACCACUUUUGUAAUGCUACUUUACUUCUUCAUUUCUUGUUUCUCUUUCAUUCUCUUUUUAAAUUCCCUUUCUCUAAAGCCAUUUCCACUAUGGGCAACUGAGAUGAGAUUAUUGUCUCUCUGGUUUUGGAAAGACUUGUCAAUCUUUUCCAUUUCAGCCUCCAUAAAGAAUACUUUUAAAUUCUCUACAAUUCCCUCUCUAAACAACAUGGCUUUCACCUCUAAACUUGAUCAUUUUGUUGAUGAAAGUUGUGGGGAGAUGUCAGUUUUAGACUUGCCUGAAUUGGUCUUGGAAUGUAUUCUUGAAAAGUUACCUCCUUCAGGGCUUUGUAGCAUGGCUGGUGUUUGUAGUUCGUUGAGAGAUAGCUGUAUGAGUGAUCAUCUUUGGGAGAAACAUAUGACGCAGAAAUGGGGUAGAAUUAUUGGCCCUGCUGCUUAUAGGCAGUGGCAGCGGCAUAUGGCUACGAGAAAAGAUUCUACCAAUCUUAAGCAGGGUAAACCAAAGCUUUGGAUGAAGCUUUUCUCUAUAGUUCAAUCCUUAUCAUGGUUUAGACUAAAGGUGGGAGAUAGUUACAAUCAGAAGAGUUCUAGUUCUUUGCCUGUUGAUUCAAUCAUGUCCUGGUAUCUUGCUCUUGAGAGUGGCCGUUUCUGGUUCCCAGCUCAGGUCUAUAAUCGUGAGAAUGGUCAUGUUGGGUUUAUGUUGUCAUGCUAUGAUGCUGAGCUUAGCUAUGAUCCGCGCACUGACUCCUUUCAAGCCAGGUAUCCACCUCAUGGAAGGAGGGUAAUUGCAAUAGAGCAUGGUGUGCCAUGGGAAAGGCUUAGAGCACCACCUAAUGAUACUACUCCUCAUGAUCUUCACAUCUCUGAUUGCUUGAAUGAGUUACACCCAGGUGAUCAUAUUGAGAUUCAGUGGAGAAGAAACAAAGAAUUCCCUUAUGAUACUUUGCAGGUUGGUGGUAUGGUGUUGUAGGUCACUUAGAAUCGUGUGAUGGAAAUGAAAAUUUCUGCCGUUGUCAUAAUAGUGGACAAAUCAUUGUCGCUGUGUCAUAAUUUCCACCAACAUUAUGAUAACUCAUGUCUCAGUGGAAUAUUUAUGGCCAACCGCACUGAAAGAACUCAAUGUUUCCUCAAUGUUCUGUUGUUUGCGAAGUGGUCAUCUUUCGGCUAUGCGGGGCAGCACUGGCUAUUGUCAUCUCCCAAUUUUUCAUUUAUUUUAUUUUUGCCAUUGUAAACAAUUAGAGCACAAUUGUUUUCAAGGAAAGCACAUUCAGCAUGACCCACUAAUGAAAAUUUUCUAUCCGUUACCUCAUCAUAAAAGAAAAAGCAAAGGAUCUCUUUUUGUUGCUUGCAACUUGACAAAACAGGGAAUGUAUAUAUCCAUGUCACAUAAAUAAUCUUACUCUUUAGUGGGACAGGAAUUUAAUUGACCCUCACUUUUGCAGUUUUCUAUUUGUUAAUAGCAUAACUCAGUUUUUUUAAAGAUUGAAGCAAUAAUUUUAUUGUUUGUUUGAGCCAAGCAACUUGUCAAAAGAUCUUGGCAAUCUAUAGGACACGCUUAGUAUGUUGCUUUCUCUGUAAUUUAUAGUGGCAUCAGCUGUAAAACUAAAACUAUGAAGGUUAUAAGCAUUAUUUCAUAGUUGAAUUUUUGUGAUACAGCAUGAAUUUCUAAUAUUGCAUUGGU